GCUGUGCACACAGAUCUGGCUCAGAACCUCCCCAUACACCUCAGCCCCACAACACUGCCAAGCCCACUCCAGCACAGCCCCAUCCAGCCUCAGCCUUGCACCAGGACCCCUCCCCCAAACCCCUUUCUGCCCCCUCCAACCCACCCUGCUCUCUCCAGCAAUGCCACGAACCCUUUGGAGAACUCAAAGCCAGCCCUAAACCCUAACUCAACCCUAUAGCCAACCCAAUGCAAAGCAAUGCAUUGCAGCCAAACCCAAAGCCACAGUGCUCACUUUGCACACACCCCAACUUGCUGCCGUCCCCUCGCUCCCAUCCCUUCCCACAAGCCGUGGCCAUGCUUGGAGCACUUCUAACACCACUCCUGGUGCCUCCAAGUGCUUGGCCACCCCCGGUCCCCAUCCCUCACCUGCUGGUCCGACCGCUGGCUCUGGGAUCUCACUGCUGCUCAGUGUCGCUCGAGGAUGGGAAAUGAAGGAGCAGGGGGAGCCCGCGGACAUUUGGGCCGUCAGCUGACACUGCAACAUCUCUGGCAGCGCUCCGCAGUGAGUCAGCCCUGCCCGCCGUUACACAACGAUGAUUCAGAGCUCUGUCGCCAUCUCACGAGAGGUCUUUGAAGACGUGAAGGCUCACAGUGCACACAUUGUGAGUCACUGCCGCUCAGGUGAGAGGAAUUGAAAGCAGAGCCCAAGGACAACUGCCAAGGACUUGCCAGGGUUUGUCCACGUGUGCUCCGCUCACCAGGCAACCUUGGAAACCUCUGGUAAAUUAUCUGAAAUGACUUUUAGCCUUCAUCCUCGAUAUCAAGAUCCUCCCUUUCAUAGCACUGUGUGACGGCUUUGCUUGAAGAGCCUUAACCCUUGGGACAGCGGGAGGGAAAUGCUGUGCAGAGACAGACACCAGCCUGGGGCUGAGGGCAGGACGGGACAUCUGUCCACCCCAGCAAAGGACCCCACGCCCUCCCCACCUCUGCCAUACUGACAUCUGCUACUUCACAUCACAUCCCCAAUAAAGGACCUCAGGACCACAGCCUGAGGAUGCAGCAGUGCUUAGGAUCUGCAGCAGCUUGGAGGAGAACCAAGACUUCAUGCAGAGGCUGCUGUUACACACCCAACGCACAUGAGAUCUGCCUGGAAAAAACAUGUGGAACUCACGAUGCUCGAAGCUCCCCCAGUUACCACAGCCUUACUGCUCUGUGCCAUUCCCCAUUUUGAACAAACGCUUUACAAAGGACCACAGGAAUACCCAUCAACCUGCUGAGCUAAUAAUUACAGUACCCCAAUCCUCAAAGCUGUCCAUCUCUUCCAAACGCAGCUAAACAAGACAACUGCCUCCAUGCACUCCUUAAUGCCACCUAUUCCCAGAACACAGAUUGAAUUUGCAACCCAACACUUGAGCCUGCUGGCUAUUGCACUGAGAUCACCGAGCGUCACAAGGAUCCACGCUGUCUCAUUAGGCUGCCAUGCAGCCCCCAUGCCACCUUCAGGGUUAUACUUAGAACCCACCACCUCCCUGGAGGAGGAUCUAUUUGAUCUGCGUGAGCAAAAGCACUUGGAACAGCCUGUGAGUCCUCAGCAGAAAUAAAAGGUAACAAAUCAUUCGUAAUAAAUUUAUUUUAUAUAUUGGUUUACAGAGCUAAACUGAACAGGUAAUAAACAGCACCAAGCCAAGUGAGAUUUGUUCUACAAAACAAGUUUAAUACAAAAACAUGACUGCAAUGCUCAAUUCCUCACUCUGUAUUUGGAUGGUUAAAAAAAAAAAGUAACUCAAAACCUGCAAACAGUUAAAAAAGGCUUAAUUACAUAGGCACUGGUGUUUGUAAAAGCUUCUGUAACAACAGUGGAGAUCUCAUCACAAUGUUUCAGAAGAAUCAAGGCUGCCUUCGGUUGAUUUCCUAUUUAGUGGUAAGUGACUCGAAGGCAGUUCCUGAGUCUCCUGUCUUGUUCAAACACCUUACAUGUGCGACCAAAAGCAAAAUAUGGGGUAGGAGUGAACUCCCCACAGAACACCUCCCGCGUGACUCACAAGGCCUCCCUGCGUUGUGCUCCUGCAGAGAGCUGCUCUCCCCACUCAUCCUGGCUGAGGAGCAGCACCAGGUAUGCCAGGAGCCCCUGCCACCCUUCAGCAGUGGGAGGCACAGGUGAAACACCCCACUAGAACACAUUGGGGAGGGGGGGGAGAGAUGCAGACUUCACCCUGGGAUGUGGGCAGGGAGUCCACCUUGUGGGUGGCAUCGCCAAUCUGCAAACCUUGCAGGAGGGCUCUGGCUGCCAUCCUAAGCCCAGCUGCCCAGCAGAGCCUGGAGGGGAAGCUCUCCGUGCAGCCAGCAUCAGAGCUGAAUGCAAAAAUCCACAUUCUACUCAAGAAGCCACUAAACCCACCGGUUACACGCAGCCCUGCUGGCUUCUCUGCAGGUUUUGUUAGCUUAGGCCAGAAAUGAAUUCGGUGCCCGCUGUCCCAGUGGUGUUCUGGUCAGCGGUUCGAUGACACUGGGAAGAACAGAUGAACAGUGUUUUUGCCCAGUCUAAGCUGCCACACCCAGGAGAUAUUUUCUUUGAAGAAAACAAAACGAAACAACACCCCCAAAAACAACAACAGUCCUAUGCAGGACACAAAAACAAACUUAACUAACUAGAUGACUGUAGAUACAAAAUACAAUGCCUGCAGCACAGAGGACGGAUCGCUGCUCCUUCUACCUGUUGUGAGGCUACAGGAACAUGGAUUUGGCACCCCCUGACAUGCCAUGCAUUGUACAUCUCUGCUCUGACCCACAGCACACACAUUGCAGCUGCCCAGGAUAAACAAGUACAUUCAGCCCCAAUAGACAUUCCAAAGCUGCUAUUUAAUAGCCCAUGAAGCAAUCCCUUCGGCUGUGGCCACAAGAAAGCGCUUUCUGAAGCCUCCUAUAUCCUUCACUUCCCACCCAAAUUCCCCCCACCCCCCAAGAAAACAUAAAGCACAGAGUCUGCAGACUUAAAAAGUGGAACAGGAUCACAAAUGUUCUCCUCCACACCCCCAACCCAGCCCAAGGCACGUCAGACUGCCCUCCCUCUAUGACUACCUUUGCCUGAUUUUCCUUUUUUCCUAUUUUUUCCCCCCCAUUUUUGAAGGGUGAAGUGGACACAAAUAUUCUCCCUGCUGGCAAGCAGCAAGUGCUCUCAUCGCUAUCUCUGUACUGCUAAAAAACAAACGCUAACAAAACACAUCUUCACUGCCACCCUAACGUUUCCAUGGGAAAUGUCAAUCUCCUUUAAACACGUUCCAUGACGGAUGUUGCCUCCAGUUGGCUUUUGCAGAAUGGAGGUCAAAUUUUAAGAACCAUUGUCAGAGAGAUCUCAGCUCCUUCAAUAUUUAAGUAUGCAUUUUUUUUUUUUUUCCUUUUUAACAAGUUGCUUUAGGCUUGCUUGCCUACAGAAGCUAGAUAUCUGCUGGAAGGUUAACUUUGGUGUGAUUCUAGCUUCCCACCAGCUCAAGCCCAUCUUCUUUCUAAGCCAACAUUAUUGCCCUGAUUUUUUUUUUUGUUUGUAGUACGUAAGAUUUUCAGAAAGAAGAGCAAA